UAUCGUUUAUUUGAUAGUACCUUACUACAUGGAUACCUGUGGUAAUUCUAGAGCUAAUACAUGCUAAAAACCCCGACUUCAGGAAGGGGUGUAUUUAUUAGAUAAAAAACCAACGCCCUUCGGGCUCCUUGGUGAAUCAUAAUAACUUAACGAAUCGCAUGGCCUUGCGCCGGCGAUGGUUCAUUCAAAUUUCUGCCCUAUCAACUUUCGAUGGUAGGAUAGUGGCCUACCAUGGUGGCAACGGGUAACGGGGAAUUAGGGUUCGAUUCCGGAGAGGGAGCCUGAGAAACGGCUACCACA
rnacentral:rRNA from 1 species